CGACACAAUCCUGUCUCAGAGCUCUACGGACAAUUCCUUCGACCUCAUGGCUUGGUUUUUGUUCUGACAUGCACUGUCAGCUGUGGGACCUUAUAUAGACAGGUGUGUGCCUUUCCAAAUCAUGUUCAAUCAAUUGAAUUUACCACAGGUGGACUCCAAUCAAGUUGUAGAAACAUCUCAAGGAUGAUCAAUGGAAACAGGAUGCACCUGAGCUCAAUUUCAAGUCCCGUAGCAAAGGGUCUGAAUACUUAUGUAAUAUAAGGCCGGUGGUAGCUGGUCCCCUGCAGGAAGGUGAGGUGCCGGAGGUCCCUCCACCCUCUCUGGACAUCGAGGGGUGGAGUGAGGGACCUGCAGUACCUCGUGGACUGGGAGGGGUACGAUCCGGAGGAGAGGUGCUGGGUACCGGUGGGGGACAUCUUGGAUCCGUCACUGUUGAGGGAUUUCCAUCGCCUCCAUCCGGAUCACCCUGUGCCUCGCCCUCCGGGUCGCCCUCGAGGCCGGUGUCGGCGCGCGGCUCCUCUCAGGGGGGGGGGUACUGUCACGACACUAUGUUAGCCAGUUUACAUCCCUUUUCUGUUGGUUUUGUCUUACACCUGUCUUACACCUGUUUACACCUGGUUACACCUGUCUUACACCUGGUUACACCUGUCUUACACCUGUCUUACACCUGUCUUACACCUGUUUACUUACACCUGUCUUACACCUGGUUACACCUGUCUUACACCUGGUUACACCUGUCUUACACCUGUUUACACCUGUCUUACACCUGGUUACCCCAGUUUUGUUUUUCUCUGGACUGGUUAGGUCCUGGUUUUGGGCCGGUCGUUUAUGUGCGCCCUGUAUUGGCGUGUACUAUUUUCUCUGUGCCGGAGAUUAAAGCAUUGUUCUGUACCUUCUGCGCCUGACUCCACACCCACUACGCCUAAGUGCGUCACAACUAAAACAUAAUCGUUUCAAACCUUGCAUACAAUCACAUGCUGUAUCUCUCUAUUAUGCCUGGCAAUACUUUGGAACAGAUUUACAAAAUUAAAAUCACUCUGGGCUGA